GUGAACGCUGGCGGUAGGCCUAACACCUGCAAGUCGAACGGCAGCACAGGAGAGCUUGCUCUCUGGGUGGCGAGUGGCGGACGGGUGAGGAAUACAUCGGAAUCUGCCCAGUCGUGGGGGAUAACGUAGGGAAACUUACGCUAAUACCGCAUACGACCUUCGGGUGAAAGAGGGGGAUCGCAAGACCUCUCGCGAUUGGAUGAGCCGAUGUCGGAUUAGCUAGUUGGCGGGGUAAUGGCCCACCAAGGCGACGAUCCGUAGCUGGUCUGAGAGGAUGAUCAGCCACACUGGAACUGAGACACGGUCCAGACUCCUACGGGAGGCAGCAGUGGGGAAUAUUGGACAAUGGGCGCAAGCCUGAUCCAGCCAUACCGCGUGGGUGAAGAAGGCCUUCGGGUUGUAAAGCCCUUUUGUUGGGAAAGAAAUCUUUCAGGCUAAUACCCUGGGAGGAUGACGGUACCCAAAGAAUAAGCACCGGCUAACUUCGUG
rnacentral:rRNA from 1 species